rnacentral:tRNA from 1 species
GGAAGGUUGGCCGAGUUGGUAAGGCAGCGGGUUGCUAACCCGUAGCGGGUCACACCGUCGGGGGUUCGAGUCCCUCACCUUCCGCCA